rnacentral:lncRNA from 1 species
AGUAGCAGAUCCUGCUAAAGCUGCGGCAAGGAGAAGUUGCCACAUCUUUUUAAAAUGGAAAAGAGAGGUUAGUGGUGGUUGGUGCAGGUUGAGAAUAGAGUGAAGUGAAGAGUAGGGGAAGGGAGAGGGAAGAGUUAGGUGGCCGGUGGCGGAGCUGCCAAAGUUGGUUUAUUUGGGUGUGGUUCAGAGAUGAGCUUUUUUUUAUAUCCUAAUUAAGAAAAUAAUUAUUAAUUUGGAUUCUGAAAAUUAUUUUUUUAAUUGUGCAUGAUAUGAAAAAUAUUUGUUUCCUUAUUUUAAUUUUUCAAUUUGGAAAGUUUGAUCUCGUUUCCCAAUUUUUGCUCUUAAAUCUCUCCUCUGAUCAAUUUUUUUAUAUCAUGCAUAAUUAAGAAUCAAUUCGGAUAUUUAGGAUAUGAAAAAUAUGCUCAAAUCACGUUGUUUCCUUGUUUUAAUUUUCCGAUUUAGAAAUUAUUUUGUUUUGGAAAUUUUGUUUGUCAUACCAAAACUGACGACUCCCUGUUUAGGUACGCUGUUUGAUCAUCUCGGUUCAACCUUUUUUUUUCUUUAUUUCUGUUAUCUGCUGUUUGAUCAUAUUAUAGUUGAUCAGCUUUUGGCUUCGGUUUCCUGGUUUGAUCAUUUAAAUUCGUUUAAUUUUGAUUAUCUGUUGUCUGAUCAUCUUCUGGUUGGAUCAGUUUUUGGUUUUGCCUUUGAUCGUGUUGUUAAUAGUUUCUUUUAGCUUUUGGUUGUUGCCCCUUGGCUUUCUCUUUUUUAUUUUUUAACUUUUUUUUUGUUUGACCUGUAUUUAGGAAUUAUGGAUUUUCUGAAUUAGGUGGAGUUAUACUUAUUUUUCAAUGUGAUCAUUUUCCAUUUUUUAUAUAUUUUUAUAUUUACUUCUCGUUUUCUAAUAUGGGAAUGUUUAGAAUUAGUCUGUAAGUUGUAUCAGUUGAGUUCAGCUCAUGAAAAUGAUUGCAGUUGUGAUGAUCAUUACUUUUUAUAUGUACUAAAUGUGUCACAUAACAUGUCUGUCUGACAAAUCUAGUCUCAAUAAUAUAAGACCUCUUUACUUUCUAAUUUAAUUAACCCAAUAUCUCUCUUAGAUGAAGUUACACGGGCAUAGAUUUGCAUGCAAGUCUACAUUUGGUUCUUUUUGUCGUUAGUUAUUUUUUGUUUCAAUAAUGUACUUGAAUACACACUAGUGCUGUCAAGUUUAAACAGUACAAUAUGGUAUUUGGAAGAGAG